rnacentral:rRNA from 1 species
UACGAAGGGGGCUAGCGUUGUUCGGAAUCACUGGGCGUAAAGGGCGCGUAGGCGGCUUUAUAAGUCGGGGGUGAAAGCCUGUGGCUCAACCACAGAAUUGCCUUCGAUACUGUAGAGCUUGAGACCGGAAGAGGUAAGUGGAACUGCGAGUGUAGAGGUGAAAUUCGUAGAUAUUCGCAAGAACACCAGUGGCGAAGGCGGCUUACUGGUCCGGUUCUGACGCUGAGGCGCGAAAGCCAGGGGAGCAAACGGG